UCUCGAUAGCGUAAACGUUAGUUCAAGUUUGUAUGGAGUUGGAACGUUUGUGUACGUUUGCCGCUAGGGGCGCUGUUCCAACUGCAUACAAAUUCGAGUUACCUUUUACGCUAUCGA
rnacentral:pre_miRNA from 9 species